UGUUGCUGUUUCCCAUGUAAUUGAAUUGCAAUUUAUGUUUUGCAACAUUUGCUGAUCUUGGAGAAACAAAAAUUAUUCUAUUUAAGAGAGUUAAGACAUGAUGUGUUCUCAGAUACGAGAAGAGUCUGGGUCUGGAAGGGAGAAAGGAAAGGGAAGGGAUUCUUGAGAGAAAGGAAACUGUUAGAGGUGGGACUUCAUACACAGUAGCCAGCAUGAGCUACCUUUGCACAUUGCAAAGAUGGAUUUUUCCACUUUGGCAGCAUUGCAGUUGACCCAGGCAUCAAAGCCAGACUCCUCUGAUAAUAACUCUUAACUCCUGGAACUAGGUAUCAGACAUCAGUGAAGGUAAAUGUUCCAGAAAGAGAACUGAGGAAAUAAUCUUGAAGCCCUGUUUAAUCCAUGCACACCUUCCACAAUGCCAUCUGUUAAACUGCUGCUUCAGUGCACGUCAUGAUAUGACUCAACAAUUUUAAGUACAUCAUACUGCUAAAGGCUACAGUCAUUUGGUCAAGCAUCAGCACCAAAAACUUAAAAAGGAUUCACCUUUCUGGCUUCUGGCAGAAAUUCUGUAAUUACAGUAAAAUUUAGAUAUGUCAUUGUUGAAGACCUGUAAAAUGCAUGAACACAUGUUCAGAACUAUAAAUAUAAUGUACUUAAAGCCAAUUUAAGCUUUGCUUUUCUUGCUGUGAUAUCCAGGAAGCUUAAGGACAUAUCUCCUCUACAGUUUUUUUUCCUUUUUACCAUUUGGCAAACAUCCUGUGGAGAGAGGGUAUAUCACUUCCUCAUUUGUUAAUGAAGCCACUUCAUAGUACCAGUAUGAUUCUGGAAAUAGCAUUUGAUGAUAAAAUGUAAAGCACUAAAUACAUCUUCUCUUCAUGAGCCCAUGAAACACAAAAUUGUGCUUGUGUCUUGUUAAUGAAGGGAUUCUUCUGUAAUGAACACACUGAGUAUAUGGACAUUGCUCUUUCUUCAACAGACUUCUUGGAUUUCAAGGUAAGUUAGCUUCUUUUUCGGAAGUUUGGGUUCACACACUUUUCCAUUCUGUUUUGUUUGCCUUGUGUUUUGACGUUCUCUUCAGUUGUUAUAAAGUGUAACUCAUGACUAACUCUUCCAGCAAAAAUUUAAUUCGCUUGUUGCUGCUUGCUCCUGUGUUUAAGAGUGAACUGCAUCACUACUACAUUAACAAGAACUUAAAUCAGCUGAGAACAUGUGUAAUGCAGUGUGUAACAUGUGUAACACACUGGGUAGGUAGUUACCUCAAGAUGUGCACUAUAAUAGUUCAAACUUCAGGUUAGGGUUUUCUUUCCAGCUUUAUAAUAUUCAUUCUUCUGUGGCACUCAGUAUACACAUUGAAAUUGUUAAAUUAUUUAAAAUAUUAGAAUUUAAAUUAAAAUGGGAUUUUGAAAGUUCAUGUUAAACUCCUCCUCUAGAUUAGAGGUAAUGAACUGAGAUGUGGCAUUUUCCUAAUGUCAGAGCUGGGAACAUUUACAAGGUAAAAUGUGGCUGGUCAGCAGAAUGGAUAACUACUUUUUCAGUCAGGUUUCUUUUCUUGUUAAGGACAUCUUUAUGUUCUCUUAACUUUACAUAAAUUAUUUCAUUAGAGAUCGGGGCGGGGGAGGGGGGAAUUUGAAAAACGCAUUAUAUGGAAAUUCUACAAGUAGCUGUUCACCUUCCUCCUAAAGAAAAAUUUUUUAUAGUGUGUUUGGUUUUCAAGCUGUGCUUCUGAGUAAUCUCACUGAAGUUAGAGGAUUUGUUCAUACAUCUGGGAUGUAUAAGUAUCUAAUGUUACAGUUUGAAAAUUCUGUCAUCCAUUUAUCUGUCAGUGUUUUUUACCAGCACUGCAGUUUAUCCUUCUGCCUAGCAAUUACUCUGAAUUUGAAUUCAUACAUGUGUUUUUUAUAUGACUGUCUUGAAAUUAAUUAAACUCAUUCUUGUAAUAUUUUCCAAAAUUCUCAAGAGUAAAGACUAUUCUCUUUUCCCCAAAUCAAGAUUUGCUUGCCUUCCUUCUAUCUUCUUGGAACUGGUGGAGGAAAGGGAGUGUUGCCUAAACUGAUGGGUGAAGAAUUGUCCAAUGAUUUUCAUGUCUCAGACUUUCAGAAACAUACAUAGCAUGACAGAGCUAAUGUUAAAACAAGGGAGGAGGAAUCAAGCUAAUUGACAGCUUCUGUGGAUGCCUGUGCAGCAUGAAGCACAAAUAACAGAGCUAACAUAAGCUUUAACAAGCAGAUUGACAGGAGAUCUUCAUUGAUACUACACCAAGUUGGAUGGAAGAAAACUACCUCAUGAAAGCAUAAAACCAGAUAUUGCUCCAGCAGCCACAGGCUCUAUUAAGGUUUUUAAAUCCAUGAAGGACAAGAGAGCAGAUGUGCAUUUCUGAGAGAAAUGAGUUUGGUGGGCAGCAGAAAUAAAAAGGUUAUCUGCCUAGGAAUCUCUCCUAUUCAAUAUACUUAAUCAUUUACUGCCAGUUAAAAAAAAAUUCAAAUUUAGUCCGGCACUAGUUACUUCAGUGCUAAUUUCUACUUAGAUGCUUUUGAACAGCCCUGAGAUCUGCUACAGAGCGACUGCUUUCAGUCUUGAAACCUUUCAAUAAGCAGAAGGAAAAAGCAAGGUUCUGGUGUCAUUCUAACUGUAUUAAUGUGUCAGAGAAAACCAGCAGAAAAAUGUCUAGUUAAAGCAUAUGGCUUUAGCAGCAACUAUUCUGUUUCUAGGUAAGCAUCCCAAAAUAAAUAAUCCUGUCUGGGGCCUGGCAAGGAUCAUCAGUUCAGCUGACUUGCCCCUCCAGCACCUCCUGGCAUGGAGACAAUCCAGUGAGAGGGUCUGCACCUUCAAAAACACACCAUUUGCACAAGUCAUUCUCAGUCAUUUGUAAUAUCACAAAGCAUCAGCACAGAACGUGGGCAAGAGUCCAGGACAUGGUAAAAGUGUCCCCCUAAGGGACACAAAAGGGUAGAAAGCUGAAGAAAGGUAAGGCCUGCAUUCAGUCUCUCACUCUGUUUCUUCACAGGAUCCACAACAUUGUGGACAAGCCUUGCAUUUUCUCUGGAGUCACUUUCCACCAGUUAUUCCCAAUGUGCUUUCUGUGGCUGACACUUCUCUCUUAAAAGAUUUCCACUCUUUUGUGACUUAAACAACCCAUAAAUUUUUAUUUUAAUUUUUAAUAUACUGAUUUAUUUAUUAUAAAAUAAACAUUGAAUUUAUUAUUCAGAACUAUCUGUAUCUCAAGAAGAUUUUUCCAUUCUUAACCAUCACUGUUCCACUAGUUCUGACAAAGAAAAUACAAAUGUUUUCAAAUCAGAGAUUAUAAUUUAAUAGUUUAAAAUGUGUUUUAAACUAAACUUGCUGAUGGCUGGAACAAGAAAUUUAAUUCCAGUGAGCUUUUCCAACAGUGAAUCUCAGGAUGGGAGCUGCCAGUGACUAUCUCUUCUAUAAUAAUGUUGCAACAUCAACUGCGAAGCUAUUUACAAAGGUACUUCAAUCUGUAACACAUCUGUUUUUUCUGCCUGCAGUUUUCACACUCCUGCUUCAUUAUUUUUGUCCUGAGGUCCUGAUGAAUUUUUGGUUAAUAUUGUUUCUUUUUACUAGUUGCAAGUUUUGAGGAUCUUUCAAAAUGGUAAAGAAAAAUUUGUUUUUAAGUUCCAAGUAGUAUCUAUACAUAUUGAGUCCCAGAGAGUGAGUGAAAUUAAUAACUUGGAUGAUUCUAGCUGUGAAGAGGUAUGGGAUAUAGACCUUCUCAGUAUCCGUAAACUAAAGCAUCAGUGAAAUACACUUUUUACUCAGAAAUGCUUCACAGAUUUUGUCAAAUCCCAAAGCUCACUGUCUGUGGUAGAGAGAAGCAUAUCCUGUGAAAUCCUGCACAAUGUUACAUCUGAACCUCACCUGGCAACUCCCACAUAAAACCACCAGUUCUGUUUAAACCACAAGGAAGGACACUUGAUAUUUAAAGAUUUGCCUUUGUGGUAUCCCAGGCAGAAAGAGUUAAAAGAGUUCACAGCUUUUUCUUGGAAUUUCCUUCUUGUCUCUAGAGAGGUUUGUUCUGGAGUCAUGUAAACACAGACAUCUGCUUGCUGUCACUUCAUCCUUUUUUUAAAUUCAUAAGAAUAGGAAGAACCCCAGAGGGAGUUCCAGACCAGGCCACUUUCAGCCACCAGCCCUCCAUGCCUUUAUCCAGUAACAAGGCAGAUGAAGUGCUGGGGCUCAUACAUAUUUCAUGAACCUUCUGGCUAUGAGUUUUGUUAAACUUUGAAGUUAAUAAUACAAUUCAUUCUGUCAGAAAUUAGUAUCAAACCAAAUUUAUUUUUCAUAUAAAAAGUAUACAAAAUUGUACCAUUUUUAUACACCUAAAGUGUGUAAAGGAAAUUGUGAAAUACUGUAAGCUUAUGGUAAGAAGACCAUUAAACUAGAGUUGCUAUCUAAAAAAACAAAAAAGUUUUCUAGGCAAAGUCAGGGAUUUUAGUGGAAGCCUCUCCAUCUCUUGUGCUUCUGUUUGGUGGUACAAACAACCUCUUUCUAUCAGAUUUAGAAAUCAGGGCUCAUCUUCUAAUUACUUUGCCUCUGUUACUCCAGACAGGCAAACUGUUACUCCUGAGCAAACAGGAGAACAGCAAUUUACAGUUGUAGAAAGAGUUUUAAUCUCUAUAUCCUGCUUAACAGAAAUUCACCUUACAGAUGAAAACAUUGCUUUUAAUAUAAAUCCAAACCAACACAUUAAUUGUAUUUCAUUAAGCAUCACAUCAGUCUUCAGAUGGGGUAACAUUAUUAGUCCAGCAUUUUGCAUAUAGGAAAAUAAAUGAAUACCAAGAGAUGUCUUGCUUAAGCCUUAUUAUUUUUUAGUGGCAGAAGAGAACCUGAUGCUUUCUGCUCUCCCUAUUGCAUUCCCUAAUCAAUAACAUUUUCAGAUUAAGUUUCAAAUGCAUUGCCUUCCUGGGAGGAGGGAUGCCAGCAGAAAGUCAGCCAUGGUUUCCUACACAUGCUAAUGAUACGUGGUAGCUGUUUAAUUCUGUGAGCAUCUCUCACUCUGCUAUAACUGUUCAUUAAAUGUUCCAAAUUCUGACAGAGCUCUGAAAAUAACUCCUUGAUUUCCUUCAAAUCUACUAUUGAGAAUACAAAUAGAAACAGCUUUUAACAAAAGAAUAAGGACUUAGAAUAGAUGAGAAUUUCCAUGAUUUCUUUGAUAAUCUACGUUUGUGUGCUUCACAGAUCUCCAGGAGACAGUCUUCUGUGGCCAAAAUAUGUAUGCCAAAUUAUACAUAAUUUUUUUUAAUGGAAGGUAGUUUCAUUAAAAACCCCCAACAUUCUGUUUAAAAGGGAAAUUCUGACACUGGAGAAUUAAAUGGAAAUCCCAGCUGAAGUUAACAGGGGUUCUGGUUUUUGUCCUUAAUCUGAAGUAAAAUCUGCAAUGACAGCAGGAACAAUUUCAACCUAAGAUAAUAGUUGUAAGUUUUCAGUCACAACACCAUAGCAUUGGAGGUCACAAUCUCCUUAGAAAAGGAAUAUUUACUGUCUUGAAUUUCACUGCAUAUGGAAAUGAUUUAUGCUGUAAUCACAAGCAUAGCCCCUUCCAGUGGAAGAUUCUCAAGCAAUUACCACAGAGCAAAUCAGUCUUUAGCUCACUAGGCAUUAAUUUAACAAGACCUUUUUUAUUUUUUAAUGACCAGUAUCUUCAUAACUGAUUGAUGCCUAAUCUGGUGCCGCACCUGCUCUUUCAAUCUCCAGUGGUUCAGCUUUUCAGAUUAAUGAAUCAAAAAGACAAUUGUGACAGUAUUAUAAAAUGUAUUGUAAUAAACUUUCCAUGCUUCAAAACAGAAAAAUAAUCCACAAAUUGAUUUCCAGAGUUGAGGUUUCAGGGUCUGAAUGGUUUUAUCACUGGGGACUCUUUAGACAGGAGCUUUAAGUGACAUCAUCAUUUUCUAAAGCAUAGAAUUGCCACCAUAAUUAUAAGUCUUUUCAGGCAUUUUAUUUUUUAAAAGCUACAGAAAAUCAAGCCUAAAAAUGUUAAUGCAUUCCUAAUACUGGUCAAACUGUGCAAAUGCUGAAUUUAUAUUCCAGCAAUAUGUAAUACUCCACGUGACGUAGAUGAUGUUUUGCGAAACACAGGGCGAAUAAUACAAGUGUUACAAACCUGAUUUCCUGCUUUUUAUGACUACUUACAGAGUGCUUAAUGACAACUUGAGGCAGCUUUUGCCUUCCCAUUUAGGAACAGUUUUAGAACUGCUUUGAAGAACAGUAGGAGCUGCCAGCUUCCCCAGUGCACUCUGGAGCAUCCUACCAAUAAGAAAUCUAAUCCCAGUUGUUGGGUCUGUUUAUAUGCUGAUGAAUUUAAUAAUGCUGUGGAUGUGUUCUCUCUCCUGUCCUGUGAAAUCCUUCAACAGUUAGACGACUUGUCAAGGCAUUCCACAACCAAGUGGUGCUUUCUUGGAAAGGGUGGAGCCCACGUCCUGUUAAACACUCUGCAGAGCAAAACAAGUGCUUGUGGAUUUUUCCUGUUGAUUUUGUCUUGUCAAACUGUUGUCUCUACAUUGGGUAGAACCUUGGUCAGUCAUCACCAUUUCCUAUAGCAGGAGCUAUUUUAAAUAUCCAUCACACUUAAAACACAAGAAAUAGAUUCCCUCAAAUUGAGUAUCUGUGAAGCAUCUAUAUUUGAUGUUCUUUCUAUUCUGCAUAUGAAAUCCUGACUUGUUCCUGUUAACUGCAGCCUCUUAUGAUGUAAGAAGAAGAUUUUAGACAUUAUUUUUAUGUAGUCAAUAUAACUGAUCCCUCUUAUUCUCAUAGCAUUUUUCUUCCCAGUUCUGUAGAGGAAAUGGAUGAUUUCACCUAAAUUUAAACUACCAGAUUCCUUAUUUUAUUAUGGACUGCAGUGACUGUAUUUAGAUCAGUUGGAUGCUCCUGACUCCCUUUCUGCUCUUGGCACUGCAAACAUGCCAUAUAGAUUAAAUAUUUAGACAGAAACAUACUUUAGCCAAGACAGGAGGAAGCCUCAUAUUGGGACUGCAACUCAAACUAUCAGAUAUUUUUAGAACUUGAUGGAAAUACUUAUUCAGUGCUUUGAUUUACAGCUUCCCAUGAUGCUUACAAUACAAAAGUUCCAUAACACUGAAACCUUAAUUCAGGGCUGAGGAAUGAAAAAGAAAAAAAACAAACCCAAAAACCAAACAGUGGAAGAGGCUGCAAGGUAGAAACAAAUGUCAGGCACUUUAAAUAAAGUAUGCAGAAUGUUUCCCUGGAUAUGAAGAAACAAUUUGCAUUCUAACAGUUGAGACUAGCAAGAAACACCUAAACCCAAACUGACCUGGAGCUUCCCAGAUCAUUUGAAAGAGAAGGUCAUCUCCAAUUCACCUGAUGCUAGAAGCUGAAACAGGGCUGAUAGAAUAGCUCUGCAAAGUUCUCUUGGAUUUGUUGGCUGUUUUGUCAUUAUUCCCAAAAGGCAACAUUGUCAUGGCAAGUACAGUUUGGAAAUAAAACUUAUUACUACUACCUGCAUGUCUUGUUUCACUGUCUUGUGUAAACAUAUGUGCUUGCUUGGAAGUCUCACAGCAGGAUCUGUAAUCAAUAACAAGAAGCAGUCUGGGGAGAAAAAUGUAUAUCACUUCUAAAAUCUGCCAGGUUUAGAGUAAUACUUUCCUGAUGUGGAAUUGCCAAACCAUCUGCAGAUAAGUUUUAAACUAUUAUUUACUACUCUACUUCUCAUAUAUAGCAUUAAUAGAUUCCUGUUCAUUUCCCAUGUCAUCUGUAGUUCUUAGUCCGUUCCCUACCCCCUCCCCCUCACAAACAAUUUUUAGAAAAAACUGGAUUAAAAAAUGGUCACAAUUUGUUCUGCAAAGAAAGUAGGAAUGUGCCUGUGCAGUUAGAAGGUCCUCUGCCUUCCUUGUCUUGAGGGCAAGGAUUCCAGCCAUGGAACGACACGAGUUUUCAGGAGUAUUUGUGGGGCAGGAAAGGUUACAGGACUGUGUAUGGAUAAUUCUGGCUGCUGUUUUUGUCCACUGUGCACAUCAUCCUUUGUUUCCCAGUGUGGGGAUGUGUUUUAAUUUUAGCUCUAGUGCAGGAAGGCAGGGAAUGGCCUGCUCCUCUUCUGUAACUUCCAUGUAUUUUUUGCUACUGGGUUAGCUGCAAAGCAGAAGUCCCAAUUUCUCAAUCCUAGAUUGAUUUGCAGGUGGUUUCUAACAUCCAAAUGCUCUCUGAAGGGUAAUACCAGUAAAGCAAAACAAAAAAUUAAACCAAACAAAACCAAAACAAACAAAAAAAACCACCACCAAACCAGGUCUUGCUUUGAAACCAUUCCUGUAGAUCCUUUAUGCAGUUGGUAAGGAUGAAGGAGAAUGAAAAUAAAAAAGUAAUGGUCUCUUCCUUGCUCUUUGUUCAGAGAAAAUCACCUCCUAAAGUCAGGCUUCUAUUCAGUUCUCUGAACAGCCCAUUCCUUUCUCAGGGUGACCUGGAGACAGAGCAAGGAGAGGAAGCAGCUCUGGCAGCACUUAGGGCAUUGCUCGGAGAGGCUCCCAAACACAGGGCAAGCAGGCAUCAGUGCUUCCUGACCACUGGGCUAAACCAAGGUCCUGGAAAGGCUGUAGAGAGUGUGCUGUACCCCAUAAUGGAACCUGCUGACAUGCUUUACACAUUUGUAAAACAGGUCUGAAAAGAACUUGCAGGAGGAAAGAAAAAAGGCACCUGUGUUAGACAUUGCUGCACAUUAAACACCUGCCUCCAGCUAUGUCCUCUAGCAACUAACAGCACAGCCUAGCCCACAGGAGGGAGUACAGCAGAGACAUCUGUCAAAUACUAACCACUUACUCCCCCAAAUUACCUCAAGGGCAGCACACAGCUGUCAGAUCUGCUUGUGAAUACAAGGCUGGUUUCUGUAAUACACUUGAGUAUUCCCCCUUUCCAACCAGCUAUUUCUCCUCUACACUGUAUUUCCUAAUAUUUUCCUAAAAUAAAAAAAAAAAAUCUUCACAAAGGCUCUUUACAAAAAGUUCUAUUAAAGGUACAUUCACCAUGUUAUGACAAUUUGCCAUAUCAAUAGUACACCCAAAGUGCCCCCAGAGGAACUGCUCAAGAACUGAAGCCGUGCUGUGUGAAGAGAUUCAAGUACUGCCUGUUGUUAAGGGCUGCUCUAACUGAAGGAAAGGAAAACGUGGCCAUAAAGCUUAAAGUUCCUCUGACUGUGCCUUCUCUCCACAGGAAAUAAAAAAAGCCCAAAAUAAGCAGCCAUAACAAGUAAACGACUUUAAAAACAAAACUCUCAAGCUCCAUCAAAGCAAAUGCAGUUGAUUGGGAAAAGCUACAGUUACUCUUAUUUGUCAAAUUAAGUUCUCUCUGCCCAUGUUUGCUGCAACUGCAAAGUGCUCCAACUUUCAUUUUCUUCCACAUGGUGGGGGAGUUUGGUAGCUCUAAUCGUGCUCAUCCAGAUGGCCUGUCAGUUUUUACAGGCAUUCCUUAAAAAUAGAAGCAAUCUAAUCCUGGUUCAGGUGAUUUAAAAGAAACUUCUGCAAAACUGCAUUGUUCUUCAAAGCUAGCAGGCAAUAAUUCAUGGCUUUGACAAGAGGACUGCUUUCCCCUCUUGCCACCAAUUUCAUAGAGCCAUUCCUUGCUCUGUGUUGAUACAGACUGUUCUGCAGUUACUUGUGUAUCUCCUUUUUCACUUGAUGCUAUUUUACUUGCAGCUGAGGAUAUCGACUGACAUGCAGAUCCCACCGGAAUUAUUACUGGUACCUUACUGCACAGCCAGCAACCCCUACAGCAGUAAGAGCUCAAUGAAAGGGAUGCCACACCAUUCUCAAACCAUUUCGGGUUCAUGCUCCAACAUAAACCAGAGCCAACUUUGUCUCAACUUCAUUAUUGAGUUGCAAUAGCAGCUUUCAUGAGAAAAACUGAGCAGACACGUAGAAUUGGUUACACACAACUGCCAGAUCUGCUACAUGCAAGUCAACACCCUGUGAAAUACAGCCUGAGCUUGUCACCAGAACUGAAGGCUGGGCUUUAAUUGUAGCAGUCACCAAAAUAUUGUUUCCAGAGUGAGAUGUUUUGGGCUGCAGCUACACAUCUU